rnacentral:rRNA from 1 species
UACGUAGGGUGCAAGCGUUGUCCGGAAUUAUUGGGCGUAAAGAGCUCGUAGGCGGUCUGUCGCGUCGGCUGUGAAAUCCCGCGGCUCAACUGCGGGUCUGCAGUCGAUACGGGCAGGCUAGAGUUCGGUAGGGGAGACUGGAAUUCCCGGUGUAGAGGUGAAAUUCGUAGAUAUCGGGAGGAACACCUGUGGCGAAGGCGGCCAUCUGGACAACUACUGACACUGAGACGCGAAAGCGUGGGUAGCAAACAGG